ACGAACGCUGGCGGCGUGCUUAACCCCUGCAAGUCGAACGGAAAGGCCCUGCUUUUGUGGGGUGCUCGAGUGGCGAACGGGUGAGUAACACGUGAGUAACCUGCCCUUGACUUUGGGAUAACUUCAGGAAACUGGGGCUAAUACCGGAUAGGAGCUCCUGCUGCAUGGUGGGGGUUGGAAAGUUUCGGCGGUUGGGGAUGGACUCGCGGCUUAUCAGCUUGUUGGUGGGGUAGUGGCUUACCAAGGCUUUGACGGGUAGCCGGCCUGAGAGGGUGACCGGCCACAUUGGGACUGAGAUACGGCCCAGACUCCUGCGGGAGGCAGCAGUGGGGAAUAUUGCACAAUGGGCGGAAGCCUGAUGCAGCAACGCCGCGUGCGGGAUGACGGCCUUCGGGUUGUAAACCGCUUUCGCCUGUGACGAAGCGUGAGUGACGGUAAUGGGUAAAGAAGCACCGGCUAACUACGUG
rnacentral:rRNA from 1 species